rnacentral:rRNA from 1 species
UCUUUAUUAUUGAAUGCCGGGGUAGUAAUAAUAUCUUUAAACCUAAAGAAUUUGGCGGUACCUCAUUCUUACUAGAGGAACCUGCUCUUGAAUCGAUAUUCCACGAUUAAAUUUACGUGUUUUUGCUUUCAGUUUGUAUACCGCCGUUGUCAGAUUAUUUUUAAAAAAUAUUAUCUAACUAGUUUAUUGCUGUGACAUCAGGUCAAGGUGCAGCCGAUGAACCCGGGAGUAGUGGGUUACAAUAAAAUUAAUUUAUUACGGAUUAGUACUUGUAUUAUUAUUAUGAAGGUGGAUUUAGUAGUAAAAUAGAAAUAAAAAGUUUAUAUGAAAUGAGCUCUGAGGUGUGU